GAUGAAGAACGUAGCGAAAUGCGAUAAGUAAUGUGAAUUGCAGAAUUCAGUGAAUCAUCGAAUCUUUGAACGCACCUUGCACCCUUUGGCAUUCUGAAGGGUAUGCUCGUUUGAGUGUCAUUGUACUCUCACACUCCCGAUCUUUGCAUUGGGAGCAGUGGACUUGGGUUUGCUGCUUCACCGUCGCUUACCUCAAAUAGGUUAGUGCAACUCUUGGUUGGACAUAGUACGGCGUGAUAAGUGUUCUUCGCCGGUGCCUCGCAAAGAGGGUGGCCGAUCGGGAUGUUGUGCUCCAAACAGUCUUCGGGCAAUCUCUGACGACUUGACCUCAAAUCGAGUAAGACUACCCGCUGAACUUAAGCAUAUCAAUAACGGAGGA
rnacentral:misc_RNA from 1 species